rnacentral:rRNA from 1 species
AGAGUUUGAUCCUGGCUCAGGAUGAACGCUGGCGGCGUGCCUAACACAUGCAAGUCGAACGAAGCUUGACGGAUGAUUUCUUCGGAAUGAAACCUGAUAUGACUUAGUGGCGGACGGGUGAGUAACACGUGAGCAACCUGCCUUUCAGAGGGGGAUAACGGCUGGAAACGGUCGCUAAUACCGCAUGACGUGUUCGGAUGGCAUCAUCUGAACAUCAAAGAUUUAUCGCUGAAAGAUGGGCUCGCGUCUGAUUAGAUAGUUGGUGGGGUAACGGCCUACCAAGUCUACGAUCAGUAGCCGGACUGAGAGGUUGAACGGCCACAUUGGGACUGAGAUACGGCCCAGACUCCUACGGGAGGCAGCAGUGGGGAAUAUUGCACAAUGGGGGAAACCCUGAUGCAGCAACGCCGCGUGAAGGAUGACGGUUUUCGGAUUGUAAACUUCUUUUCUUAGUGACGAAGACAGUGACGGUAGCUAAGGAAUAAGCAUCGGCUAACUACGUGCCAGCAGCCGCGGUAAUACGUAGGAUGCAAGCGUUAUCCGGAUUUACUGGGUGUAAAGGGAGCGCAGGCGGGACUGCAAGUUGGAUGUGAAAUACCGUGGCUUAACCACGGAACUGCAUCCAAAACUGUAGUUCUUGAGUGAAGUAGAGGCAAGCGGAAUUCCGAGUGUAGCGGUGAAAUGCGUAGAUAUUCGGAGGAACACCAGUGGCGAAGGCGGCUUGCUGGGCUUUAACUGACGCUGAGGCUCGAAAGUGUGGGGAGCAAACAGGAUUAGAUACCCUGGUAGUCCACACUGUAAACGAUGAUAGCUAGGUGUGGGGGGUCUGACCCCUUCCGUGCCGGAGUUAACGCAAUAAGCUAUCCACCUGGGGAGUACGACCGCAAGGUUGAAACUCAAAGGAAUUGACGGGGGCCCGCACAAGCAGUGGAGUAU